ACCUGGCAUACAAUGUAGAAUU
rnacentral:miRNA from 3 species